CAGUGGCACGAUCAUGAGUCACUGCAAGCCUCAAUCUCCUGGGCUCAGGUGAUCCUCCUACCUCAGCCUGUUAAGUAGCUGGGACUGCAGGUGCACACCACCAUGCCUGGCUAAUUUUUCAUAUUGUUUGUAGAGGCGAGGUUUCAUCAUGUUGUCCAGGCUAGUCUCGAACUCCUGGACUCAAGCCAUCCUGUGUUGGCCUCCCAAGGUGUUGGGAUUACAAGCGUGAGCCACUGCCUGGCCCCAGACUUUAACUUUUAUUGAUGAUUUUGUCAUGGUGAUUUUCUGUUUCCAUCAUUUCUUCUGUAUUUACAUUAGUGGUUUUUGGUAAGGAAGAACUUUCCCUUGUUAUGUAUUUAUUUAAUGUUUUAUGUAUAUCAGAAUGGACUCGCGGAUUUUUUUUCCCCUCUUAUAUCAGAUGGACUUACAGAUUCUUCUAUGGAUUUCAUCUAUUAUCAUCAUUAUUUAUUUUGGUGCUCUAAUUAUCCCAGGUUUGGCCCCAUGAAGCCUCUUCAAGGAGGUUCCUGGUCCUUUUGACAUGUCUCCAUCAUUUUGUGAGGGCUUAACUUUUUUUUUUUCUUUUUGAGUCAGGGUCCUGCUGUGUCACUCAGGCUGGAGUGCGCAGUGGUAUGAUCAUAGCUCACUGCAACCUGGAUUUCCUGGGCUCAAGUGAUCCCCCUGCCUUAGCCUCCGGAGUAGCUAGGACUACAGGCCAGAAGUAAAUGAAUGUUAUUGCUGAUGUUUAUUUCAUUCUGUCUUGAUCUCAUGAUAUGAGAAUAUAAGGAGAUGUCUGAAAACUUGUUUUAAAAAUCCUAUGAAGCAUAAGUUCAUGAAUAAAGAAGGAAGUGGAACUUGUCUUGAGAGAAUUUGCCUAUUUAGAUGGUUUCCAAAGUGCAUUCUGCUAGUCACUAGAGAUGGUCCUUGAAAGAGUUCUGUAAUUAAGUUUGAAGAAACACUGUGUACCAUAAUAAUGGCCUAUUGAAUAUUUUACCAUGCACAUUAAUAUAUCAAAGGCUUUGAGAUAUCUUACAAGAAAGAAACUUGCUAAAGCUUGUCUUCCUGCAUGUCUUAAGCUUCUUCCACAGUGACUUUAAGUCGGACUUGUCUAUCCUGUGAGAAAUGCUGCCCUCUAGAGGCACAAAUUCAAUUGCUCUUAAAUUUGAGUACCAUAAUGCUGCCUGAUCUUAGUGUGAAGUUGUGAUAAUUAAUAUUAAUCAAAUGCAUGGUAACAAAACCAAAUAGAAGAAAUCUUAUGUUGCUUAAUUUUAAGAAAAUAUGAGGAAACAGAAUUGCAAUUUAUAAAUACCCACUUUUUAAAUUGUACAUGUGAUAUUUUUGGCUGCUAAUAAUCUUUUGAAUACAUUUCUGUAUAUGGGGAAUUGCGGACACAUAGUACUUCAAGUCUCCAAACUCUGAGUCUCUCCUGCUAGCAGAAGCCAUCCUUCCCUGUGUUAACAACCUUGCUUAAGACAGUUACCAUCCAUGGGGAAGCUAGUUUCCUCAUACCCCUUCCCACGAUACUCAUGUUUCCAUACCUGUAACUGGAGUCAGACUAUAUCAUGCUGCACCUUUGCAGUCACAAUGGGAAGAAAAGGAUUAUAUGUAAUUUUUUUAAAGUUUUUUUUUUUUUUUUUUUUUUUUGCUGACAAAGCAGCAAAACCUUCAGGAAUAUGUACAGAAAUGGGUGAUGAUGAUGAUGUGAGAGAGAAAGAAACAUGCUUUUGCAUUUGGCUGAAUGUAUUGGUAUGGUGCAGUUAUCAGAGAUUCUGAAUUCAUUGUUCUCGUUCAAGUAGCCAGGAGUGGUUCUAAUUGUUUGCUCCUUUGGUCUCAGCAUUGACUUAUACUAAAUGAAGUUGAAUGCCUAAAAACUCAUAGCAUAAUAUAGAGGAAGAAGUCAAAAGAUUAAAGGAAAUAGAACUGAUGGAGUGGAUUUAUCACUGUGACCAUUCACUUACCUCCCCUAUUCCCUCUCCAGUAUUCUCUACUAAGAGGUCUGGAAGACACUUCAUUCACCAACCUAAUGAGAAAUACUUUGAGGGCAGUGCCAGCAUAUAUGAAAAGUAAUUCAAUUGCUUUUGUCUGUAGGCUGGAGGAGAUACUUUCAUUGAAAUUGUCUUUUUUACUUCAGGGGGUGUGGCCAGAUUCUAGGUAAGGUCCAGGCAUCAUUUUCAUAAGGUAGCUUGACAGGCAUGAUGAUCAGAGAUGCACUGACUUGAAUUCUUUUUGGCUGUGACUAAAUGAUCAUGGAUCCCUACGUCUAAAAUAGAGAGGAAGCCUAUUAAGAUCCUACUUUAUCUGUAUGAGCAAAAAAUUUUAGGUCUCAUAGGAGAAGGCCUUACUUGAACUACCAUAAGAGUGAGUUGGCCAGCCUGGGCAACAUGGUGAAACCCUGUCUCUACAAAAAACACAAAAGUUAACUUUUGUGUUUUGGGCAUGGCUGCGUGAGCCUGUGGUCCUGGCUGCUCAGGAGGCUGCCCCCUUUUUGCAGUUUACUUCAUGGGUUAUAUGAGAAAACAGGAAGGAGGGGGAUAUCACCGAGAGAUUCUGAUAUUGGAGCUGUGUGCAAUAACUGAUAAGUCUCUGGUUCUUACCUCCAUAUGAGGAACAGAGAGAGUCUUGUUUGUACAAGGCUUAGUUAUAAUCUGUCAGGUUUGAGGAUCUUGAUUGGAAGCAUAGACUUGAUCUGUAUUUGUGGUUUCUCAUUUCAAAUAGCCUCUCAAUGUUGGAUAAAUUUGCAUGUUCAUGUUUUAUAGAGUCAGAACUCAAUUUCCUAGUAUUCCUUGCAGCUAGGGCACAAGCAUAUGACCUAGGCUUUAUUGAUCAGAUGCAUCUGUGUAAGACAUGAAUUCAGGGUCAGAGAAAUGCAGGGUAACAGCUCUUGCCUGGAAUUGCUUUCUAAUGUGCAUGUUGAGUGACAAGAUAUUGAGCUGUUUAGAGGUAGCAGUGACAGAGAUACUAGUGAGCCUUGUUGUCCUAGGCUCAGCUUUCAUGGUACUAGGGCUGAAGGAUGGGAACAAUUUGGUGGGGAGACUUAGGUAUUUUUCCUGGCAUCAUAUCUCCAAGUGGAUUCUUCAGUUCUCUGAUAAUUCUUGGAAUCCCCUAAUAUAUUAAUAAAUUUAUUUUCUCUUGAAACCACCUCAAAUAGAUUCUGUUUAUAGCUUAGAGCCCUGAUUGAUCGUCUAACUUUAAAGAUUUUAUUUAUCGUCAAAAUAUUUUAUUUUUCUAAUUGAGAUCUAAAAAUUGUCAAGCACUUAUACUCUAUUUUUUCCCUUCCUAGAGCUCUGCAAUCCUUUGCUGUCAUUUUUUCUUACCAGGAAUGCCAAUUUUUGUACCUUUUGAAUUGCUUUUUCUUCUUUGCUACUUGGCUUGAGCUCCACUAUUGUUAUGAAACCUUUCUUAUACCAUCCCAGCAGCCUGAUGGAUUUUUUUCUUCCUCUGAAUUCCAGUAGCACUUGUUUAGACAUUAAGUGCAAGGUGUUUUUUUGUUUUGUUUUGUUUUUCUGUAUGCAUCUUAGCUUCCGCACUAAAUGAUAAGCUCCCUGAAAACUAGUACUAUGCCUCUUUAUAUCGCUUGCAUUGUCCAACAGAAUGUCUUGCACCUAUUAGAUUCAAGGUUCAGCACAGUCACCCUCAUAAUAUAUAGUGAUGAGAGUUGCUGAGAAUCACAGUGAUGCCAGGCUGAAUGAGCUGAGAUAAUAAACUAGUUAGAUGCAUAGUCUGGCCAUGAGGCCCAAUUUCCAUCUUCCUCAAGGAGUCUGAGACUUGCCUCUCAGUAGUUUUCGUUAGUAGGUGAUCAUAUCUUCUGAAUUACUGUCUUCUUAAUGUUUUAUGAGUUUUUUUUUGCCUUGACAAAAGCCUUCUAUUUCUCUCAUGCUUCCUAGUUCCUUCCAUUGUGCCCUCUGCAAUUUCUUUUCACUAAGCUUACUAUUUGCAGUCUCUUAAAAUUUGUGUAAAUUAUGAAAUCAAAGAUACAAAGAAAGGACAGAAAGUAGUAUAACAAACACCUGUGUAUCUAACCUCAGGGUCAAGCAGAUAUUAACCUUUUGCCUCGUUUGAUUUCCUUUUAAAGUUCUUCCCUCCCCAUACUUUUCUCCCUUCUUUGGAGGUACUCAUUAUCCUAAAGUCCUUACGAUUAUUUCCCUGCUGUUUUUGUACACAUAAAACAUUUACACAAAAGAUGACCUGUGUUUUUUUCUAGAUGUGUUCAUAUUGACAUGUGUAGAUUUAGUUCAUUCAUUGUAACUACUGUUUAGUUUUCCAGGUUGAAUAAUGCUAAGUUUUAUAGAGAUAAUGCAGUUCUACCUUUUGGCAAAUAAUAUUGUAAUGCUCGUACAUAGGUACUUACUGUAAUUUUAUCUAGGAUAGAUACCUGAAAGUAGAAUUGCUGAAUCACAGGGUUCAGGUGCCACUUUAUCAAGUAUUGCCGAGUCCAGUCCAAAGUGGAGCUACCAUUUUAUACCCAUUAACAUGUUUCCACACUUUUUUUUAUCAACAUUUAAUUUUAUCUAGC
rnacentral:lncRNA from 1 species